rnacentral:rRNA from 1 species
CUGAUAGCAUGCAGUCGAGGGACCCCGCAAGGGGGACCGGCGUAAGGGGCAGUAAGGCGUGGGUAUCUACCGGGGGGUUCGGGAUAGCCGCCAGAGAUGGCGGGUAAUACCGGAUGACGUCGCGAGACCAAAGAUUCAUCGCCCCCCGAGGAGCCCACGUGAUAUUAGCUAGUUGGUGGGGUAACGGCCCACCAAGGCCGAGAUGUCUAGCGGGUGUGAGAGCACGACCCGCGCCACUCGCACUGAGACACUGGCGAGACACCUACGGGUGGCUGCAGUCGAGGAUCUUCGUCAAUGGGGGCAACCCUGAACGAGCGAUGCCGCGUGCGCGAUGAAGGCCUUCGGGUUGUAAAGCGCGAAGGUGGGGAGAAAACCCGAAAGGGCUGAUCGAUCCACAGUAAGCUCGGGCUAAGUUCGUGCCAGCAGCCGCGGUAAGACGAACCGAGCGAACGUUGUUCGGAAUCACUGGGCUUAAAGGGCGCGUAGGCGGGCUGUCAAGUCUGGGGUGAAAUCCCGCGGCUCAACCGCGGAACCGCCUCGGAUACUGACGGUCUCGAGGGGGGUAGGGGCGAGCGGAACUGAUGGUGGAGCGGUGAAAUGCGUUGAUAUCAUCAGGAACUCCGGUGGCGAAGGCGGCUCGCUGGACCCUCUCUGACGCUGAGGCGCGAAAGCCAGGGGAGCAAACGGGAUUAGAUACCCCGGUAGUCCUGGCCCUAAACGUUGGGUACCGGAUAGUGGGCCGGACAUGGGCUCACUGUCGAGGCGAAAGUGCUAAGUACCCCGCCUGGGGAGUAUGGUCGCAAGGCUGAAACUCAAAGGAAUUGACGGGGGCUCACACAAGCGGUGGAGC